GGGGAUGAGCUGUGGGUAGGGGUGAAAGGCCAAUCAAACUCCGUGAUAGCUGGUUCUCCCCGAAAUGCAUUUAGGUGCAGCGUCGUAUUAUAGCUUGGUGGAGGUAGAGCUACUGGUUGGUUGAGCGGGACUACAAUCUUAGCAAUGUCAGCCAAACUCCGAAUGCCACUAAUUGUGUUGUACGGCAGUGAGACUGUGGGGGAUAAGCUUCAUAGUCGAGAGGGAAACAGCCCAGAUCGCCGGUUAAGGCCCCUAAGGGUGUACUAAGUGGAAAAGGAUGUGGGAUCGCGAAGACAGCCAGGAGGUUGGCUUAGAAGCAGCCAUCCUUGAAAGAGUGCGUAAUAGCUCACUGGUCGAGUGGUUCUGCGCCGACAAUGUAGUGGGGCUCAAGUACACCGCCGAAGCCGCGGCAACAAUUUUUUUGUUGGGUAGGGGAGCGUCGUGCAUGGGUUGAAGCGUUACCGUAAGGAGGCGUGGACUGUGUGCGAGUGAGAAUGCAGGCAUGAGUAACGAAUUGAUAGGUGAGAAUCCUAUCCGCCGGAUGACUAAGGGUUCCUGGGUCAAGUUCGUCUUCCCAGGGUGAGUCGGGACCUAAGGCGAGGCCGACAGGCGUAGUCGAUGGAUAACCAGUUGAUAUUCUGGUACCCGUACAUGCGCGCCCAUGAUAAAGCACUGAUACUAACCACCGCGGAUGCAUUGCUGGUCUUCUUUGAAGUCUGGUGGUGUUGAUGUCGUGGGGCCUGAUGUGUGGUUCAAGUGAUGGGGUGACGCAGUGAGGUAGCCACGCCACUUAUUGGAUUGGUGGUGUAAGCGUGCAGACCGUGUGGUAGGUAAAUCCGCUGCACUUUUGGUUGAGGCGUGAUGCGUAGACCCAUUGGGGUUGAUGGUGGUGAUCCUGUACUGUCGAGAAAAGCCUCUAGCGAUGUGUGUGUAUGGCCCGUACCCUAAACCGACACAGGUGGUCAGGUUGAAAAUACUAAGGCGUUCGGGUGAACUGUGGUUAAGGAAUUCGGCAAAAUGCCCCCGUAACUUCGGGAGAAGGGGGGCCCUACGAUGUGAGCACUCUUGCGGUGUUAAGCGUUGUGGGGUCGCAGAGAAUAGAGGGAAGCGACUGUUUAUCAAAAACACAGGUCCAUGCGAAGACGUUAAGUUGAUGUAUAUGGACUGACGCCUGCCCGGUGCUGGAAGGUUAAGAGGACCGGUUAGUCAACGUUGUUGGCGAAGCUGAGAAUUUAAGCCCCAGUAAACGGCGGUGGUAACUAUAACCAUCCUAAGGUAGCGAAAUUCCUUGUCGGGUAAGUUCCGACCUGCACGAAUGGCGUAACGACUUCUCUGCUGUCUCAACCACAGGCCCGGUGAAAUUGCACUACGAGUAAAGAUGCUCGUUACGCGCGGCAGGACGAAAAGACCCCGGGACCUUCACUAUAGCUUGGUAUUGGUGUUUGGUUCGGUUUGUGUAGGAUAGGUGGGAGACUUGGAAGCUAUCACGCUAGUGGUGGUGGAGUCGUUGUUGAAAUACCACUCUGAUCGGAUUGAGCAUCUAACCUUGGCCCAUGAUCUGGGUUGGGGACAGUGCCUGGUGGGUAGUUUAACUGGGGCGGUUGCCUCCCAAAAUGUAACGGAGGCGCCCAAAGGUUCCCUCAGCCUGGUUGGCAAUCAGGUGGUGAGUGUAAGUGCACAAGGGAGCUUGACUGUGAGACAGACAUGUCGAGCAGGGACGAAAGUCGGGACUAGUGAUCUGACGGUGGCUUGUGGAAGUGCCGUCACUCAACGGAUAAAAGGUACCCCGGGGAUAACAGGCUGAUCUUGCCCGA
rnacentral:rRNA from 1 species